CGGCGAAAAUUGUUUUUUGAUACUAGGACAUUUAGGAAGCAAUUAAACGCUUGAAGGAAUAAAAGGCGUUGAGUUUGGCUGCUAAACAAUAACUUCUUAUAGAAAACAGAAUGAACAAGUCAGCUCUACUUAUCCUCCUUCUCAUUGGACUACUUGUCGUAACUGAGACGACUAAUGCGGACUGGUUGUGGACUCGUCGCCGCCGUCGCAGGGGUUUUAAACCCUAUAGCCAACGGGUCAUGGACAAAAUUUUAGUUCAAGACAUGGACACAGCUUUCGAAAGCAGCAACAUCAAUGCAUGAUGGUUCGUUAAUUAAACACAACAUUGUAGAAAUGCAGUCUCAAAAUUGCAAUAAAGCAAAAACAUAUCACUU